GGAAUUUUGCGCAAUGGGCGCAAGCCUGACGCAGCAACGCCGCGUGGAGGAAGAAGGCCCUCGGGUCGUAAACUCCUGUCCUUGGGGAAGAUGGUGACGGUACCCUUGGAGGAAGCCCCGGCUAACUUCGCGCAAGCAGCCGCGGUAAUACGAAGGGGGCUAGCGUUGUUCGGAUUUACUGGGCGUAAAGCGCACGUAGGCGGACUAUUAAGUCAGGGGUGAAAUCCCGGGGCUCAACCCCGGAACUGCCUUUGAUACUGGUAGUCUUGAGUUCGAGAGAGGUGAGUGGAAUUCCGAGUGUAGAGGUGAAAUUCGUAGAUAUUCGGAGGAACACCAGUGGCGAAGGCGGCUCACUGGCUCGAUACUGACGCUGAGGUGCGAAAGCGUGGGGAGCAAAC
rnacentral:rRNA from 1 species